rnacentral:rRNA from 1 species
AUUGAACGCUGGCGGAAUGCUUUACACAUGCAAGUCGAACGGCAGCACGGGGGCAACCCUGGUGGCGAGUGGCGAACGGGUGAGUAAUACAUCGGAACGUGCCCAGUCGUGGGGGAUAACGUAGCGAAAGUUACGCUAAUACCGCAUACGAUCUACGGAUGAAAGCGGGGGACCGUAAGGCCUCGCGCGAUUGGAGCGGCCGAUGUCAGAUUAGGUAGUUGGUGAGGUAAAGGCUCACCAAGCCGACGAUCUGUAGCUGGUCUGAGAGGACGACCAGCCACACUGGGACUGAGACACGGCCCAGACUCCUACGGGAGGCAGCAGUGGGGAAUUUUGGACAAUGGGCGCAAGCCUGAUCCAGCCAUUCCGCGUGCAGGACGAAGGCCUUCGGGUUGUAAACUGCUUUUGUACGGAACGAAAAGGCUCUGGUUAAUACCUGGGGCUCAUGACGGUACCGUAAGAAUAAGCACCGGCUAACUACGUGCCAGCAGCCGCGGUAAUACGUAGGGUGCAAGCGUUAAUCGGAAUUACUGGGCGUAAAAGCGUGCGCAGGCGGUGAUGUAAGACAGAUGUGAAAUCCCCGGGCUCAACCUGGGAACUGCAUUUGUGACUGCAUCGCUGGAGUGCGGCAGAGGGGGGUGGAAUUCCGCGUGUAGCAGUGAAAUGCGUAGAUAUGCGGAGGAACACCGAUGGCGAAGGCAAUCCCCUGGGCCUGCAC